AUUGAACGCUGGCGGCAGGCCUAACACAUGCAAGUCGAACGAGUGGCGGAAGGGUGAGUAAUGUAUGGGAAACUGCCUGGUGGAGGGGGAUCACUAAUGGGAACGGUAGCUAAUAACGCAUACCAGCGGAUGUGCCCAGAUGGGAUUAGCGAGUAGGUGGGGUAAAGGCUGACCUAGGCGACGAUCCCUAGCUGGUCUGAGAGGAGGAACAGCCACACUGGAACUGAGACACGGUCCAGAAUCCUACGUGAGGCAGCAGGGGGGAAUAUUGCACAAUGGGCGCAAGCCUGAUGCAGCCAUGCCGCGUGUAUGAAGAAGGCCUUCGGGUGGUAAAGUACUUUCAGCUGGGAGGCGUUACCCGCAGAAGAAGCACCGGCUAACUCCGUGCCAGCAGCCGCGGUAAUAC
rnacentral:rRNA from 1 species